GAAUUCGCCCUUAGAGUUUGAUCCUGGCUCAGGACGAACGCUGGCGGCGCGCCUAACACAUGCAAGUCGAACGAGCGAGAGGAGGUUUACUUUCUCAAGCGAGUGGCGAACGGGUGAGUAACGCGUGAGGAACCUGCCUCAAAGAGGGGGACAACAGUUGGAAACGACUGCUAAUACCGCAUAAGCCCACGACCCGGCAUCGGGUAGAGGGAAAAGGAGCAAUCCGCUUUGAGAUGGCCUCGCGUCCGAUUAGCUAGUUGGUGAGGUAAUGGCCCACCAAGGCGACGAUCGGUAGCCGGACUGAGAGGUUGAACGGCCACAUUGGGACUGAGACACGGCCCAGACUCCUACGGGAGGCAGCAGUGGGGAAUAUUGCACAAUGGGGGAAACCCUGAUGCAGCGACGCCGCGUGGAGGAAGAAGGUCUUCGGAUUGUAAACUCCUGUUGUUGAGGAAGAUAAUGACGGUACUCAACAAGGAAGUGACGGCUAACUACGUGCCAGCAGCCGCGGUAAAACGUAGGUCACAAGCGUUGUCCGGAAUUACUGGGUGUAAAGGGAGCGCAGGCGGGAAGGCAAGUUGGAAGUGAAAUCCAUGGGCUCAACCCAUGAACUGCAUUUGAAACUGUAGAUCUUGAGUGUCGGAGGGGCGAUCGGAAUUCCUAGUGUAGCGGUGAAAUGCGUAGAUAUUAGGAGGAACACCAGUGGCGAAGGCGGAUUGCUGGACGAUAACUGACGGUGAGGCGCGAAAGUGUGGGGAGCAAACCAGGAUUAGAUACCCUGGUAGUCCACACUGUAAACGA
rnacentral:rRNA from 1 species